rnacentral:tRNA from 1 species
GGGCCUCUAGCUCAACAGGCAGAGCAGCGGACUUUUAAUCCGCGGGUUGUGGGUUCGAGUCCCACGGGGCCCA